ACCCGGAUUGCAUCGUGAGGGCGAGCUGAGUUCUCCUCUGCACAGACUUCAGAGAUACAGCGAAGGCGGAGCAGUGUUCUCCUCAGCACAGACCCGGGCGGACGGGUGGGCCGGGGGCACCGCAAGGGCGGAGCUGCGUUCUGCUCAGCACAGACCCGGGGGACACAGCGAAGGCAGAGCAGCGUUCUCCUCAGCACAGACCUUGGGAGCACUGCAUCGCUUUGGGCAGAAUAGAUUACUGAUUUUGGGCACUCCAAGAUUUUGGGAGAGACCUCUCUCAUGAGAACUUUAUGUGGAACCCCCACCUGCUUGGCUCCUGAAGUUCUUGUUUCUGUUGGGACUGCUGGGUAUAACCGUGCUGUGGACUGCUGGAGUUUAGGAGUUAUUCUUUUUAUCUGCCUUAGUGGGUAUCCACCUUUCUCUGAGCACAGGACUCAAGUGUCACUGAAGGACCAGAUCACCAGUGGAAAACACAACUUCAUUCCUAAAGUCUGGGCAGAAGUCUCAGAGAAAGGAUGAAGACAUGAAGAGAAAGUUUCAAGAUCUUCUGUGUGAGGAAAAUGAAUCCACAGCUCUACUCCAGGUUCUAGCCCAGCCUUCUACUAGUCGAAAGUGGCCUCAUGAAGGGGAAGCCGAGGGUGCCGAGACCACAAAGCGCCCGGCUGUGUGUGCUGCUGUGUUGUGAACUCCAUGGUUUGAACAUGAAAGAAAUGUACCUUCUUUCACUCUGUCAUCUUUCUUUUCUUUGAGUCUGUUUUUUAUAGUGUGUAUUUUAAUUAUGGAAAUAAUUGCUUUUUCACAGUCACUGAUGUACAAUUAAAAACCUGAUGGAACCUGG
rnacentral:lncRNA from 1 species